rnacentral:rRNA from 1 species
GACGAACGCUGGCGGCGUGCUUAACACAUGCAAGUCGAACGGAAAGGCCCUGCUUUUGUGGGGUGCUCGAGUGGCGAACGGGUGAGUAACACGUGAGUAACCUGCCCUUGACUUUGGGAUAACUUCAGGAAACUGGGGCUAAUACCGGAUAGGAGCUCCUGCUGCAUGGUGGGGGUUGGAAAGUUUCGGCGGUAGGGGAUGGACUCGCGGCUUAUCAGCUUGUUGGUGGGGUAGUGGCUUACCAAGGCUUUGACGGGUAGCCGGCCUGAGAGGGUGACCGGCCACAUUGGGACUGAGAUACGGCCCAGACUCCUACGGGAGGCAGCAGUGGGGAAUAUUGCACAAUGGGCGGAAGCCUGAUGCAGCAACGCCGCGUGCGGGAUGACGGCCUUCGGGUUGUGAACCGCUUUCGCCUGUGACGAAGCGUGAGUGACGGUAAUGGGUAAAGAAGCACCGGCUAACUACGUG